GAGCCGUGCUAUGAAAUAUGAGACCUUCGGCCUACGGUCCUGGAGGUCAGCUGGAAGCUCCAUAUUGCUUCCGGCCUUUCCUUUUGCUCCCCGCCCCCCUUUGCCUCCUCACGCUGUUUCCCCUCCCCCGCCGUCUCUCCCUUCAGUUUGCGUGGGUUUUGGCGAGGCGGAGCCCUGGAGUAAAACCUGGGGUCGGUGUUGUGAGACCCGGCCCUUGCGGUUGGGAGCCGGAGCUGUGGGGCGGGCUGACUGAGGGCGAAAGCAUGUCCUCCCUCCCUGGGUGCAUGAGUUUGGCUGCAGCGCCAGCUGCGGCGGACUCUGCAGAGAUUGCUGAGCUGCAGCAGGCAGUGGUUGAAGAGCUGGGUAUCUCUAUGGAGGAACUUCGUCAGUUCAUCGAUGAAGAACUGGAAAAGAUGGACUGUAUACAGCAGCGCAAGAAGCAGCUGGCAGAGCUGGAGACGUGGGUGCUGCAGAAGGAGUCUGAGGUGGCUUAUGUUGAUCGGCUGUUUGAUGAUGCAUCUAGCUUCGUGAAGCUAUGGCUGCCUUAAGAAAAUCAGCUCAAGAUGUCCAGAAGUUCAUGGAUGCUGUGAAUAAGAGAAGCAGUUCUUAAGAUCUAUAUAAUGGAACCUUGGGUCAGGUGUCUGGAGAACUGAGCAAAGAUGGGGACCUGAUAGUCAGCAUGCGGAUUCUGGGCAAGAAGAGGACUAAGACGCGGCACAAAGGCACCCUCAUUGCCAUUCAGACUGUCGGGCUAGGAAAGAAAUACAAAGUGAAAUUUGACAACAAAGGAAAGAGUCUGCUGUCUGGGAACCAUAUUGCCUAUGAUUACCACCCUCCUGCUGACAAGCUGUUUGUGGGCAGUCGAGUGGUGGCCAAAUACAAAGAUGGAAAUCAGGUCUGGCUUUAUGCUGGCAUUGUAGCUGAGACCCCUAACGUCAAGAACAAGCUCAGGUACCCAGACAGGGAUUGUAGAUUGUAGAGGAGUAGGGGCUGGGAGCAUGGUGCCCAUCUUUCUUUUUUUUUUUUUUUUCCGGAGCUGGGGACCGAACCCAGGGCCUUGUGCUUGCUAGGCAAGUGCUCUACCACUGAGCUAAAUCCCCAACCUCGGUGCCCAUCUCUUAUACUGUGGUCAGCAUUUCAUUGUUAGCUUUUUUUCCAUGUCAUUGUUUUUUUGUUGUUUUUUUUUUUAAGACAACAUCUCUAUGCAUAACUUAUGUUUCCAUUGCAGUCUUUCUGUAUCCUAGAUUUGUCUCAAACUCACAAACCUCCUGCUGUACCUCUUUAGUGCCAGAAUUGGAGAGAUUAGUCACCAUUAAGGACAAAAAUAUGGAAAUUGGGAGAUUAAUAAAGACUAAUGAUGCAGUGGGAAGGAAUGAAGUCAAGAUUAAACGGUAGCAUAGGAAUACAAUAGAAAAAUCCAUACCUGGGAUAUUUUUUUCAGUUUGGGUUUUUUGUUUUUUUGAGAAAGGGUUUCUCUGUAGCUCUGGCUGUCCUGGAACUUGCUCUAUAGACUACCAUUUGGCCUCCAUCUCAAAAAGGUGUCUUGCCUCUGUCUCCCGAGUGAGUUUUGACAUUAAAGGUGUAUCACCACUAGGUAAA